rnacentral:rRNA from 1 species
UACGAAGGGGGCUAGCGUUGUUCGGAAUUACUGGGCGUAAAGCGCGCGCAGGCGGUUCUCCAAGUCAGUGGUGAAAGCCCGGAGCUCAACUCCGGAACUGCCAUUGAAACUGUUGAACUUGAGGACGAGAGAGGUGAGUGGAAUUCCCAGUGUAGAGGUGAAAUUCGUAGAUAUUGGGAAGAACACCGGUGGCGAAGGCGGGUCUCUGGGCCGAUACUGACGCUGAGACGCGAAAGCGUGGGGAGCGAACAGG